AAAAAGAUGAACAUGUACUUGUAUUGAAUAAAAACCCUCAAAACACUCAAUUAUUUCUUCCUUAUGAAUCUCAGAAAUUAGUCAGACCAAUAAAAAUGCAUCCUUCAGAACCAAGAGUUACAGAUAAAAAAGAAGAAAGUUCUGUGAAGCAGCCAAAGCUUGCCAAUAUUGACUUCAGACAAAAAGAAAAUGAUACACAUGUAUGUAUGUCUUUUUAAAAGUAUAAAUUAAAUAUUCAUAAGUAA
rnacentral:lncRNA from 1 species